GACGAACGCUGGCGGCGUGCUUAACACAUGCAAGUCGAACGCUGAAGCUCAGCUUUUGUUGGGUGGAUGAGUGGCGAACGGGUGAGUAACACGUGAGUAACCUGCCCCCUUCUUUGGGAUAACGCCCGGAAACGGGUGCUAAUACUGGAUAUUCACUGGUCUUCGCAUGGGGGUUGGUGGAAAGGGGUUUUCUGGUGGGGGAUGGGCUCGCGGCCUAUCAGCUUGGUGGUGGGGUGAUGGCCUACCAAGGCUUUGACGGGUAGCCGGCCUGAGAGGGUGACCGGUCACAUUGGGACUGAGAUACGGCCCAGACUCCUACGGGAGGCAGCAGUGGGGAAUAUUGCACAAUGGGCGCAAGCCUGAUGCAGCGACGCCGCGUGAGGGAUGGAGGCCUUCGGGUUGUGAACCUCUUUCGCUCAUGGUCAAGCCGCAACAAUGGUUGUGGUGAGGGUAGUGGGUAAAGAAGCGCCGGCUAACUACGUG
rnacentral:rRNA from 1 species